rnacentral:rRNA from 1 species
UACAGAGGGGGCAAGCGUUAUUCGGAAUUAUUGGGCGUAAAGGGCGCGUAGGCGGCUUGGCAAGUGGAAGGUGAAAUCCCUCGGCUUAACCGAGGAACUGCCUUCCAGACUGCUUUGCUUGAGGCCGGGAGAGGCGAGUGGAAUUCCCAGUGUAGCGGUGAAAUGCGUAGAUAUUGGGAGGAACACCAAUAGCGAAGGCAGCUCGCUGGGACGUUACUGACACUGAGGCGCGAAAGCGUGGGGAGCGAACAGG